rnacentral:rRNA from 1 species
CCUACGGGAGGCAGCAGUGAGGAAUAUUGGUCAAUGGACGCGAGCCUGAACCAGCCAAGUAGCGUGAAGGAUGACUGCCCUACGGGUUGUAAACUUCUUUUAUAGGGGAAUAAAAUGUGCCACGUGUGGGAUUUUGUAUGUACCAUAUGAAUAAGGAUCGGCUAACUCCGUGCCAGCAGCCGCGGUAAUACGGAGGAUCCGAGCGUUAUCCGGAUUUAGUGGGUUUAAAGGGAGCGUAGGGGGAUUGUUAAGUCAGUUGGGAAAGUUUGCGGCUCAACCGUAAAAUUGCAGUUGAAACUGGCAGUCUUGAGUACAGUCGUGGUGGGCGGCAUUCGUGGUGUAGCGGUGAACUGCUUAGCUCUCACG